rnacentral:rRNA from 1 species
AUACGGAGGGUGCAAACGUUGCUCGGAAUUAUUGGGCGUAAAGCGCAUGUAGGUGGCUAUGUAAGUCGGAUGUGAAAGCCCUGGGCUUAACCCAGGAAGUGCAUUCGAUACUGCAUGGCUAGAGUACGUGAGAGGAUAGCGGAAUUCCCAGUGUAGAGGUGAAAUUCGUAGAUAUUGGGAGGAACACCAGUGGCGAAGGCGGCUCACUGGCUCGGUACUGACGCUGAGGUGCGAAAGCGUGGGGAGCAAACAGAAUUAGAAACCCCGGUAGUCC